CCUUGCCCUCGCCAAACAGUCAUACUUUUCCUCUCUCAUUAGUUCAUGCUCCCGCAAUCCCAGACGUCUCUUUGACACCUUUAACUCACUUCUGCGCCCUGCUGCAGCCACCCCUCAAACUAACCUUACAGCUGAUAGCUUUGCAUGCUACUUUAUCGACAAGAUUGAACAGCUAUGGAAACAAUUCUCCCCUCCUUGCCACUCUCUUUCUCAACCACACAUAAAUCAUGC